GUCGGGAUGAAUCAGAUUUCUGAAUGCAUCAUUUGAGCACCUAGGUCCAAGGGUUGCCAGAUCUAUUCAUGAAUUUUGCAAUUACACAAGCUAGUCAAUUCUUUUUUCCUUAAACCGAUUAGAGAUGUGCUUCUGUCUUUUAAAACAAAAAUAGUCCUUAUUAGUAAUGCUAUAGUAAAGUAGGGGAACAAGAUGAGUUGAUCACUUAUUAUAACACACUUUGACAAUAAAAAGGCAAAGAAAUGGGAACCUCACCCAACCUGAGGGAUUUGGGAAAAAAAUUCCAAGAAGAGCGACCAUUUGGGCUUAGUGACAAAGGAUGAGUGGGAAUUGUCCAGGUAUAUGGGACAUGCCAGGAAGAAGGAAGAACACAGAGAAAAACAAGCUGAAAUUCAUUCAACACACUAUUUUUUAAAAAGUGGCUUUACAUUUCAGGAAGAUUUGGAUCUGAAAUGAUUUACUUAAAAAAACCUUGGUGCUUAAAGGAGGAAACUUCACUUUUACAAAUGAUGAAUAUGGGGCAGCUUGUUCCUUUAUGAUACCCUAUUACUGCAUUAAGGAGCUAACUCUUCCCAGACACACCUUUCUAAUUCUUUAGGAAUUCUGGAAAAGAACCACACCCACACAAGAGGAUAGAAUCUACAGUAAUGGUCCACAAACCUGGAUGUUCAUAAGAGUCACUUAGGAGAGUGAAAAUACAGACACAUGGACUCCCACGUCUGACCAAAUGAAACUUAGAGUGGGGUCCAGUGUUUUAUUAAAGUUCCUCACGUGGUUUUGAUGUGUAGCCAGUUUUGGGGUGCCCUGAAUCUAAAGAAAGGAAAAAAACAUCAUGAUAGAAAGCACCAAGAUUUGGAAAUCAAGCAUAUCUGGGACUCCAGCUCAUCAUUUAUUAGCCAAACUGCAGUUUAUUAUCUCAUUUGUAAAAUAGAAUAAUUACAUUCAUUUAACCUUCAUAAUUAUUUGUGGGAUGUUUCCUAGGCACCAGUUGCUCUCUAUGUGCUUGAGAUACAUCAGUGAAGAAAACAGGUGAAGAACUCUGCCCAGCAGAGACAGACUGUGACAGUGACUCAAAUCAAGUAGUGAUCUAGAAUUAUUUUUCCUUCUUCAUGAGUUUAAUGCUCCUCAGAGGAGAAUGUUCCUAUCCUCAAGCAAAGAUAGAAUGAUUGUCUCCAUAGAACAUCCUAAAGAAUCUACUGAAACAGUGCUGCAACUAAUAAGAAAUGAAGUUGGUACUGUAACUCCAAGAGACGUCUGCACUUCCAUGUUCACUGCAGCAUUAAUCACAACAGCCAAGAUAUGGAAACAACUUAAUAUCCAUCGAUGGAUAACUGUAUAAAGUAAAUGUGGUGUACACAUACAAUGGAAUAUGAUUCGUCCUUAAUGAAGAAGGAAAUCUUGCUGUUUGCAACAACGUGGAGGACAUCAUGCUAAGCGAAAUAAGCCAGACACAGGCAGACAAAUACUGCUCAAAUGUUCUCACUUAUAUGUAUAAUCUAAAAUAAUCAAACUCAAUAAUAGAAUCAGAGAAUAGAAUGGUGGCUGCCAGGAGCUAGGGGCAUGGGGAAAUGGGAAGAUGUUGGUCAAGGGAUACAAGGUUUCAGUUAUGCAACAUGAAUAAAUUCUGGAGCUCUAAUGUAAAGCAAUAUGACUAUAGAUAACAAU